rnacentral:misc_RNA from 1 species
GAUGAAGAACGCAGCGAAAUGCGAUAAGUAAUGUGAAUUGCAGAAUUCAGUGAAUCAUCGAAUCUUUGAACGCACAUUGCGCCCCCUGGUAUUCCGGGGGGCAUGCCUGUCCGAGCGUCAUUACAACCCUCAAGCUCAGCUUGGUGUUGGGCCCCGCCGCCCCGGCGGGCCCUAAAGUCAGUGGCGGUGCCGUCCGGCUCCGAGCGUAGUAAUUCUUCUCGCUCUGGAGGCCCGGUCGUGUGCUCGCCAGCAACCCCCAAUUUUUUUCAGGUUGACCUCGGAUCAGGUAGGGAUACCCGCUGAACUUAAGCAUAUCAAUAAGCGGAGG